GUGCUUGCUUUGGCAGCACAUAUACUAAAAUUGGAAUGAUACAGAGAAGAUUAGCACAGCCCCUGCACAAGGAUGACAUGCAAAUUCGUGAAGUGUUCCAUAUUUUG
ensembl:snRNA U6 U6 spliceosomal RNA